rnacentral:rRNA from 1 species
CUCGUAGGCGGUUCGUCGCGUCCGGUGUGAAAGUCCAUCGCUUAACGGUGGAUCCGCGCCGGGUACGGGCGGGCUUGAGUGCGGUAGGGGAGACUGGAAUUCCCGGUGUAACGGUGGAAUGUGUAGAUAUCGGGAAGAACACCAAUGGCGAAGGCAGGUCUCUGGGCCGUUACUGACACUGAGGCACGAAAGCGUGGGGAGCAAACA